rnacentral:rRNA from 1 species
AUAAAAGAAAGUAAAUAAGGGCGCAUGGCGGAUGCCUUGGCUCUCGGAGGCGAUGAAGGACGUGAUAAGCUGCGAUAAGUUUCGGGUAGGUGCAAAUGACCUUUGAUCCGAAGAUUUCCGAAUGGGACAACCCGGCAUUCUGAAGGAAUGUCAUCCAACUUGGUUGGAGGCUAACGCAGGGAACUGAAACAUCUUAGUACCUGCAGGAAAAGAAAAUAAAUAAUGAUUCCCCUAGUAGUGGCGAGCGAACGGGGAUUAGCCCAAACCACCCAUGUUACGGCAUGUGUGGGGUUGUAGGACCACGCUCUCGCAAGACAGUUAUUGAGAAGAAACGACUGGAAAGUCGUGCCAUAGACGGUGAUAGCCCGGUAUUCUAAGGUAACCGAAGCGUAGUGGUAUCCUGAGUAGCGCGGAGCACGAGGAAUUCUGCGUGAACCAGCCGGGACCAUCCGGUAAGGCUAAAUACUCCCGAGAGACCGAUAGCGAACCAGUACUGUGAAGGAAAGGUGAAAAGCACUUCGAAUAGAAGAGUGAAAUAGUCCCUGAAACCAUGCGCCUACAAGCGGUCGGAGCAGCUUCAGCUGUGACGGCGUGCCUUUUGCAUAAUGAACCUACGAGUUACUUUUUCCGGCAAGGUUAAGCAUCUUGAGAUGUGGAUCCGAAGCGAAAGCGAGUCUGAACAGGGCGGAUAGUCGGAAGGAGUAGACGCGAAACCAAGUGAUCUACCCUUGGGCAGGUUGAAGGUUAGGUAACACUAACUGGAGGACCGAACCGAUAAGCGUUGAAAAGCUUCCGGAUGACCUGAGGGUGGGGGUGAAAGGCUAAUCAAACUUGGAGAUAGCUCGUACUCCCCGAAAUGCAUUUAGGUGCAGCCUUGAGAGUUACUAAUGUGAGGUAGAGCGACUGAUAAGAUGCGAGGGCUUCACCGCCUAUCAAGUCUUGAUAAACUCCGAAUGCGCAUUAGUUCUAUCUCAGGAGUGAGGGCAUGGGUGCUAAGGUCCAUGUCCUAAAGGAGAAGAAUCCAGACCAUCAGCUAAGGUCCCCAAAUAAACACUAAGUUGAACUAACGAAGUCAGAUUGCUAAGACAGCUAGGAUUUUGGCUUGGAAGCAGCCAUUCAUUUAAAGAGUGCGUAACAGCUCACUAGUCGAGGAGUUUGGCGUGGAUAAUAAUCGGGCAU